rnacentral:misc_RNA from 1 species
UCUUUUUUUUUUUUUUUUUUUCUCCUAGAAUUUUUGAUGUUCCUUUUGUUUGUUAUGAGAGUGGGGUGGACAAAACUAGAGAAGAAGGUUGAAGGAGGAGCUAUUAUUUGUGGUUGUAAAUAUAGUUAUUAAAUUCCAUCAAAUUAAUUACCUGGCUUUUGUUUACAUGAAAAUUUUGAAUUUUAUUUGGACGUUAAUGGAGAUUAAAUGGUG